GACGAACGCUGGCGGCGUGCUUAACACAUGCAAGUCGUGCGGUAAGGCCCUUUCGGGGGUACACGAGCGGCGAACGGGUGAGUAACACGUGAGCAACCUGCCCUUCACUUUGGGAUAACUGCCGGAAACGGUGGCUAAUACCGGAUAUGACUUCCUCAUGCAUGUGGGGUGGUGGAAAGCCUUCGGGUGGUGGGGGAUGGGCUCGCGGUCUAUCAGCUUGUUGGUGGGGUGAUGGCCUACCAAGGCUUCGACGGGUAGCCGGCCUGAGAGGGUGACCGGCCACACUGGGACUGAGACACGGCCCAGACUCCUACGGGAGGCAGCAGUGGGGAAUAUUGGACAAUGGGCGAAAGCCUGAUCCAGCAACGCCGCGUGAGGGAUGACGGCCUUCGGGUUGUAAACCUCUUUCGCCUGCGACGAAGCGAGAGUGACGGUAGCAGGUAAAGAAGCACCGGCCAACUACGUG
rnacentral:rRNA from 1 species